AUUGAACGCUGGCGGCAUGCCUAACACAUGCAAGUCGAACGGUAACAGGCCCUUCGGGGCGCUGACGAGUGGCGGACGGGUGAGUAAUGCUUAGGAAUCUGCCUAGUAGUGGGGGAUAACCCGGGGAAACUCGGGCUAAUACCGCAUACGUCCUACGGGAGAAAGCGGGGGACCUUUGGGCCUCGCGCUAUUAGAUGAGCCUAAGUCCGAUUAGCUAGUUGGUAGGGUAACGGCCUACCAAGGCGACGANCGGUAGCUGGUCUGAGAGGACGACCAGCCACACUGGGACUGAGACACGGCCCAGACUCCUACGGGAGGCAGCAGUGGGGAAUCUUGCGCAAUGGGCGAAAGCCUGACGCAGCGACGCCGCGUGAGGGAUGACGGCCUCGGUUGUAAC
rnacentral:rRNA from 1 species